GGGGAUGCACGGCAUCGACAAGAAGAUCGAUCGCGAAAACGCGCGACGCCGAGAGCCGACGAUCUCGUAAAAUCAUCGGAAAAACGAUACCUGCCAACAAUUUGGUAGCAAAGGCAAAGAACGUUGUCUCUCCAUACUUCGGUAUGGGAAGCUUCGCUCCGGCAUACGCUUUAGCGUAACGCCCCCGUUCCCUCUGUGUUUGAUCUGAGGCACAGAACGGAGCGUCAUUCAUCAGGUGUAGCGCAUGUGGCUGUUCCGACACACGCGCGAAACAAAGGAACUAUGGCACAGUGAAGUUUUGCACGCUUCCUAUUCACUGAGUCGAGACACCAAGAAACGCGCUACGCAUCGUAGACACGUUUUCGGUUCCUUCUUGCACGCGAGUUCGACUCUCGCCAUCUCCACUC
rnacentral:tmRNA from 2 species